rnacentral:rRNA from 1 species
AUUGAACGCUGGCGGCGUGCUUUACACAUGCAAGUCGAACGGCAGCAUGGGAGCUUGCUCCUGAUGGCGAGUGGCGGACGGGUGAGUAAACAUCGGAACGUGCCUUAUAGUGGGGGAUAACGAGUUGAAAGAUUUGCUAAUACCGCAUGAAUGUCUGAGGAUAAAGCUGGGGAUCAGAAAUGACCUGGCGCUAUGAGAGCGGCCGAUGGCCGAUUAGCUAGUUGGUGAGGUAAAAGCUUACCAAGGCGAUGAUCGGUAGCUGUUCUGAGAGGAAGAUCAGCCACACUGGGACUGAGACACGGCCCAGACUCCUACGGGAGGCAGCAGCAAGGAAUUUUCGGCAAUGGGCGCAAGCCUGACCGAGCAACGCCGCGUGGAGGACGACGG